CCACAGUUUCUAUGUAACCGCGCUAUAGACAGGCGCGUUGCCUUCGCGUCUUGCGACUUUUGUAACGGCUCUUGCAUGACGUGGUGUUCUAAAAACGCGGCUAAAAGAAGCUCAAUUUUUAAACUUAUCGUUCACACAGCAGCUCGCAAACAGCGGUUAUUCGCGUCGCGGAAAACGAUGCAAGUCCCCAUUGUUUAUUUUCGCGCUUAAAACUGACGGGAGCAACAACUGUGGUGGAAGACUGGAUUUAAACUCGUCGAUUAAUAUCCCAGCUGAGGUCAUUGGUUUGGUCCCUUCAAGACAUGGUUACGGCUUUGAUGUCCAGUAUAAUUCCAGUCACACGAAUUGUGUGUGAUUGGAAGCGUAAAUUCAGGAAUGACAACUGUAUUCUGCUGCUGUGUCAAAAUGUGGCCUCUCAGAAAGAUGAAGAAGGUCUAAUUCAGUGCAUUCGAAGACCAACCCAUGACUUCAACUGCUUUCCAAAAUCCAUCGUUAAUAGAAAAAUGUCAAAACGGUUCAUUUUGAAAUACUAUUUAUGAUUCAGCUGUGUUGAAAUUUUUUGUGCAUCUUAUAA